CUCAGCAUAGGUAUUUUACAGACCAUAUCUUUGAUUGUCCUCUGUUAACAUCUCAAGUUGUUCAUAAGAAGCUGCAAAGUCCCACCAGGCCAACUGGCAAAUUCUAAAACAUCCAGGACUUCAAGAUCUCAACCAAGAACACUGGACUGAACACUUCCUGCAGCCAAAAUGCCACUGCCUUGCCCUGGUUCAGGAAUAAGCACCUGCCUGAUGCAGAAGGGAAAACGGAGGCAUUAAGUCAUUCGGGCUAUUUAAAAUGAACAGAAUCUGUAGAAGGAAGCAGAUCCCAGCUAUUCAGCAGAUACCCAGGUCUAGGAAGCCCAAGAAUACAAGCCAGGAUUCUGCAGGAAAAGAAAGAGGAGGAAGAGGAGGAGGAGGAGGAGGAGGAGGAGGAGAAGGAGGAGGAGGAGAAACACAGAUCUCCUCCCUACAUACGGGUUGAGCGAUUGCAGACCCCUCCCUUGCGUGCAGAUGGAAGAGGUACAUGCCAGAUCAGCCACAGCUGGAGCAGGACUGAGGGUGGCAGAAGUGAGAAAGGGCAAAGAGCUGAUCAGUCGCAAGUCACUGCAGUUCCGGGGAGGAAGCCUGACCUCAACUCCGGGGCCCUAUUAGGAGAGGGGCCCACUGACCACUUCACUGGAAGGAGUGAGCUCUCUGGGAAUGACCCUUCCAAACCUUUCAGUCCACUUUUCAGAAGCACAGACUGCCUGAGCAAACUCAGGAGUGGCCACUCAGCCUUAGCACUGGCCAGUCAUAAACAGCAACAGAUGUCUGUUGAAUGAAUGGACACAAAUACUAACCACCCUUCUUCCAAAUCCCAGUGCUCUACACAUGAAGAAAGGAAACUUGAUGAGGCACCUCUUUUCAUCCCUCCCAUCCACCCUGAAUAGGGAAAAGAUUCCCAUCUUACAAGUCAGGAUUCAAGAUCAAGAUUGAGAAAACAGCUGGACUGGUCUACCUGCUCCCCCUCCGCUCACACCCCCUUCCCCCGCGACGUCUUAGCCAGUGCUAAGGCCUUGGGGACACCAGUUUUUGUGGCGCUUUAUCAGCAAGGAACCCAACAAACGCCAGCCAGUCCAAUCCUAGGCUGCUAAGAGGGAAGCAAAGCGCCUCUGGGAGGGCUGGUAGCCCCAACUCUCUAGCCAUAAAGUGACUGCACCGCACCACAAGCUUCCUGGAUGGAAGGACACGCGGCCCACAGCUCAGAGCCUCACAACCAUUGCAGGUUUCUGGUCAUCGGGUUCCCCCUCGACCCAGCAGAUGAUUAAGAAUACAUGUGCACCAAGAAGACAAGGACAAGAAGAUUAAUGGAAACAGUAUUUGAAGCAACCUUAAUGUGAAAAAACAAAACAAACAAAAAACAACAACAAUAAAAAAACCACCUCUCAUGUUCUUUAAAAGAAAAAUAGGCUAAUCAUGGCAAAAGUAUACAAUUGUGUAUUUUGUGCAUCAACAAAAGUAAAUAAACUCCUAUUUUUGUGCAAUAUAAUCCCCA